rnacentral:rRNA from 1 species
AGUGAACGCUGGCGGCAGGCCUAAUACAUGCAAGUCGAACGGCAGCACAGUGGAGCUUGCUCCAUGGGUGGCGAGUGGCGGACGGGUGAGGAAUACGUGGGAAUCUGCCCAGUCGUGGGGGAUAACGUAGGGAAACUUACGCUAAUACCGCAUGCGCCCUUCGGGGGAAAGCCGGGGACCUUCGGGCCUGGCGCGAUUGGAUGAGCCCACGUCGGAUUAGCUAGUUGGCGGGGUAACGGCCCACCAAGGCGACGAUCCGUAGCUGGUCUGAGAGGAUGAUCAGCCACACUGGAACUGAGACACGGUCCAGACUCCUACGGGAGGCAGCAGUAGGGAAUAUUGGACAAUGGGCGCAAGCCUGAUCCAGCCAUGCCGCGUGAGUGAAGAAGGCCCUCGGGUUGUAAAGCUCUUUUGUCCGGAAAGAAAAGCAUUCGGUUAAUACCCGGGUGUUCUGACGGUACCGGAAGAAUAAGCACCGGCUAACUUCGUGCCAGCAGCCGCGGU